rnacentral:rRNA from 1 species
UAGUAACGGCGAGUGAAGCGGGAACAGCUCAAAUUUGAAAUCUGGCCUUCGGGUCCGAAUUGUAAUUUGCAGAGGAUGCUUUUGGUUAGGUACUUUCCGAGUUCCCUGGAACGGGACGCCUUAGAGGGUGAGAGCCCCGUACGGUUGGAUACCGAGCCUUUGUAAAGCUCCUUCGACGAGUCGAGUAGUUUGGGAAUGCUGCUCUAAAUGGGAGGUAAAUUUCUUCUAAAGCUAAAUACCGGCCAGAGACCGAUAGCGCACAAGUAGAGUGAUCGAAAGAUGAAAAGCACUUUGAAAAGAGGGUUAAAUAGCACGUGAAAUUGUUGAAAGGGAAGCGUUUAUGACCAGACUUUUUCCAGGCGGAUCAUCCGGUGUUCUCACCGGUGCACUUCGUCUGGUUGAGGCCAGCAUCGGUUUUCGUAGAGGGAUAAAAGCAGUAGGAAUGUGAUUCCCCCGGGAAUGUUAUAGCCUAUUGUAUAAUACCUUUAUGGGGACCGAGGUUCGCGCUCUGCAAGGAUGCUGGCGUAAUGGUCAUCAACGACCCGUCUUGAAACACGGACCAAGGAGUCGAACAUUUGUGCAAGUGUUUGGGUGUUAAACCCUCACGCGUAAUGAAAGUGAACGGAGGUGAGAGCCCUUACGGGUGCAUCAUCGACCGAUCCUGAUGUUUUCGGAUGGAUUUGAGUAAGAGCAUAACUGUUCGGACCCGAAAGAUGGUGAACUAUGCGUGGAUAGGGUGAAGCCAGAGGAAACUCUGGUGGAGGCUCGCAGCGGUUCUGACGUGCAAAUCGAUCGUCAAAUCUGCGCAUGGGGGCGAAAGACUAAUCGAACC